rnacentral:lncRNA from 1 species
GAUUGGCAAAACUUGUUGGCGAUGAGGCGAAAGAGGCAUGAGGAUCUUUAAAUAUCCGUUGGAGGCUAAGUUUCCUAUCUCUUAUAGAAAAUCGGGAUGGAGGAGUUCGUCUUCUAUUCCAAAUCAAACAGAGCUCCAUCCUUUUUUUCAUCUUCCAUUCCAAUUUGAAUAGGGCUCUAUAUAUCUUUUUUUUAUAUCAUCUCCUACUACAACACUUAUAUCUGAGCCGAUCAAGUAGACUAGGCCAAUUUCUUAUUAGAUGGGUUGGGUGCUACAUAAUUAGUAUUAAUUAAGUUGAUAUCGAUACGGAAUAAAUUAGCAAAUUAAAUAUUUCGGGGAAUUUUUCAUCUAUACUAUUUUUAGUAUUAAAUUAGUUAAGCUUUUCUUGCAUGAGUGUCGCUGUAUCCAGAGCCUCCUCA